GGGAGUUUAGCUCAGCUGGGAGAGCAUCUGCCUUACAAGCAGAGGGUCAGCGGUUCGGUCCCGUUAACUCCCA
rnacentral:tRNA from 1 species